rnacentral:rRNA from 1 species
AACCUGGUUGAUCCUGCCAGUAGUCAUAUGCUUGUCUCAAAGAUUAAGCCAUGCAUGUCUCAGUACUAGCCAACCUAAGGCGAAACCGCGAAUGGCUCAUUAAAUCAGUCAUAAUUUAUUGGAUGUCGAGAUAUCCCUACUCGGAUAACUGUGGUAAUUCUAGAGCUAAUACGUGCAACCGAGCUCCGACCCCGGGUCGUAUGGCCGGGGGGAAGGGCGCAUUUAUUAGAUCAAAAACCGGGCUCGGGCCUCCUCCGGGUGGCCCAACGCCUAUUAACGGUUCCUUGAUGACUCUGAAUAACCCUGCCGAGCGCUGAGGUCUUUGUACCGGCGCCGUAUCUUUCAAGUGUCUGCCUUAUCAGCUGUCGAUUGUAGGUUAUGCGCCUACAAUGGCUGUAACGGGUAACGGGGAAUCAGGGUUCGAUUCCGGAGAGGGAGCCUGAGAAACGGCUACCACAUCUAAGGAAGGCAGCAGGCACGCAAAUUACCCAAUCCCAGCUCGGGGAGGUAGUGACGAAAAAUAACGAUGCGGGACUCUUCCGAGGCCUCGCAAUCGGAAUGAGUUCAGUCUAAACACUUGGUCGAGGACCUAUUGAAGGGCAAGUCUGGUGCCAGCAGCCGCGGUAAUUCCAGCUUCAAUAGCGUAUAUUAAAUUUGUUGCGGUUAAAAAGCUCGUAGUUGGAUUUCAUGUCUGGACCGGGGAGCCCGCCCAAGGCGCGUCCCUCGCUAUCCUACGAGAGCCACCUGCCUCGCUAGCGCCUUCUACCGCCUCACUAACGUCGUUCGGAUGUUGCCCGAUUCCUUAUCACGUCUGCUGGUCUUGCCGGAUUGACGACGGGGGACGACACUCGCUGUCGUCUACUCUAGCCACUCCGUCCUGUCAGCUGCUGGUUGGGUCUCGGCUAUUCCGAGUUAAGCGACGCGAGGUACUGGGGUUGGCGUGCUCGACCCGAGACCAGGAAGCGUUCCACGGAAAGAGGGUUCUUAAAACGCGCCCGGGCGGUUUAACUACUCGGCUCCGGAUUUUGAUCUUACCGCCGGCGCUCACGGGGUGCUCUUAACCGAGUGUCCCGCGUAGCCGGCAACUUCACUUUGAAAAAAUUAGAGUGCUCAAAGCAGGCAAAAAUCUUAACGCCUGAAUGGUAGUGCAUGGAAUGAUGGAACAGGACCUCGGUUCUGCCUUUUUCCGCUCGGUUUUUCGGGACCGAGGUAAUGAUUAACGGGAACAGCCGGGGGCAUUGGUAUUGCGACGCUAGAGGUGAAAUUCUUGGACCGUCGCAAGACCAACUACUGCGAAAGCAUUUGCCAAGAGUGUUUUCAUUAAUCAAGAACGAAAGUUAGAGGAUCGAAGGCGAUCAGAUACCGCCCUAGUUCUAACCAUAAACGAUGCUAACUGGCGAUCCGUCGGCGUCAUUCCCACGACUCGACGGGGAGCCCCCGGGAAACCAAAGUCUUUGAGUUCCGGGGGAAGUAUGGUUGCAAAGCUGAAACUUAAAGGAAUUGACGGAGGGGCACCACCAGACGUGGAGCCUGCGGCUUAAUUUGACUCAACACGGGUAACCUCACCAGGCCCAGACGCUAAAAGGAUUGACAGAUUGAGAGCUCUUUCUCGAUAUAGUGGUUGGUGGUGCAUGGCCGUUCUUAGUUGGUGGAGCGAUCUGUCUGGUUGAUUUCGAUAACGAACGAGACUCUACCCUGCUAACUAGUCGGCGAAUCGUCUCCCGAGACGGGUUCGGCCGCGGUGGAUGAUACCCUGGGACGACCUUCUCUUUCCGAUCUCUCUCGCGACUUCCUCACCUCCGGAACCCGGUCGUAUGGCCGGGCGAUGGACGCGUGGGGAACCUUGAGGGUGAAAGUCUUAGGGGGAAACGUGCCAGGUCUCCGUCGCGCGUCGGGCCCAGCGAGGGGCGUUCGUCGUAUUUUCUUCUUAGAGGGAUCGGCGGCGUUUAGCCGCAAGAGAAAGAGCAAUAACAGGUCUGUGAUGCCCUUAGAUGUUCUGGGCCGCACGCGCGCUACACUGAAGGGAUCAGCGUGCUUUCCUACUCCGAAAGGAGCGGGUAACCCGAUGAAACCCCUUCCCGAUUAGGAUUGGGGAUUGUAAGUGUUUCCCAUAAAUGAGGAAUGUCCAGUAAGCGCGAGUCAUCAGCUCGCGUUGAUUAAGUCCCUGCCCCUUGUACACACCGCCCGUCGCUAUUACCGAUUGAAUGAUUCAGUGAGGGCAUCGGACUGGCGCCCAAGGCAUCACGUCGUCCCUCUCUCGGGAGGGGUGGCGCGCCACGGGCUGACGGAAAGAUGUCCGAACUUAGUCAUUUAGAGGAAAUAAAAGUCGUAACAAGGUUUCCGUAGGUGACCUGCGGAAGGAUCA